rnacentral:lncRNA from 1 species
GCCGGAGCGGGGUGGGCAAGGGAUCCGGUUGGCGGAGAGGGCACCGUAGGAAAUGUAGUAGUGGACUCGCCUCCAGAAGAGAGAUCUGCGGGGGUCUUGUUGUAGGUCGAGAUCGUCGUCGAGGUCGUCUUCAGUGGGGGAUUGGAUGAGGGAAGUGGUGGUGGGCCAUUCGAGGGCGUCGGCCAUGAGUUUGAGGGAGGUGUCGACGGAGAGGUGGGCGGAGGAGGAAGAGAGGAAGAGGAGGAGGAGGGUGAAGAGGGGGAAGAGGAGGGAUUUGGAAGCCAUUGGAGAUUUGGGGAAGGGAGAGAAGGAGGAGAUGGGGGG